rnacentral:rRNA from 1 species
AUUGAACGCUGGCGGCAGGCUUAACACAUGCAAGUCGAGCGAGCGGCGGACGUGUGAGUAAUGUCUGGGACACUGCCUGAUGGAGGGGGAUAACUACUGGAAACGAUAGCUAAUACCGCAUACCAUCAGAUGUGCCCAGAUGGGAUUAGCUAGUAGGUGGGGUAAUGGCUCACCUAGGCGACGAUCCCUAGCUGGUCUGAGAGGAUGACCAGCCACACUGGAACUGAGACACGGUCCAGACUCCUACGGGAGGCAGCAGUGGGGAAUAUUGCACAAUGGGCGCAAGCCUGAUGCAGCCAUGCCGCGUGUGCGAAGAAGGCCUUCGGGUUGUAAAGCACUUUCAGCGAGGAAGCGUUACUCGCAGAAGAAGCACCGGCUAACUACGUGCCAGCAGCCGCGGUAAUAC